CCCCCCUUUCCAUGUUUAAAACAAACACAAAUUCUGGGUGUAUUUUGACUUUCUUUCCAGUAUAUCUUUUGUGUUCGGAUUUUUGUCGACGGAUCUGUUUAACUCAUUUGUGAAAUGUUUUGACUUGAGGGCUGUUUUAUUGACCUGAUGGCCAAAAUACAUCAAAAUUAGAGAUUGUUGUCCAGGGAACAUUCCCAUUGACAUCAGACAUUGUUCUCCGCCUGCACCGGGACGGAGCUUGACAUUUUAUCUUCCUUAUACAAUCUAAAGAAGAGCCUCUGUCAGAUGGCAUUGAGACUGGACGGCUGUCUCCACAGGCAUGCGGGAUUUUCAAAGGGGGGCUUCUCGCUGGAUCCUUUCACGAGCUCGGAGGCAGUCACGAGAACUUUUGAGCGGAAUGAACAGCCAGUAGUCAGCUCCUUCAAGUUUUCACGGACAGAGGGCCGCAGCUUAGAAUUUUUUUGAACACCCUGCACAAAACGUAACAAAUGGACUUACACUGCAAGGUAACCGUGUGAACUGAUGGUGGCCAGAUGUUGUGAUGUUUGCUGUCACCAUCUACUGGCGCAGUGCCUCAACCUCAGUCGUAAGUUACAUUUUUGCUUGCAACACAAAGCAAAAAAAUAAAAUAAAAAAUGACCGAGGCAAGGGAAGUUGUAAAUUGGGACAUUUGUAAGUCAAGGUAUUAACUACGGUAGGGAUUUUUUUUUUCCCUCUGGUGUUUUGAGUUUUUACCCUUUUGGAGGACCUUUUUGCUGAGACCAAAGUUUCUGACACUGGGCAGCACAUUUCAUUCGUUGAUAGUCUUUGUUUCAUUAUAGCCUGCACAGAUCCAAUACAGCCAGUGCCGGAUGGAACAAAGCAGCCCCAGAUUAUAGCCGAAUCUCCUCACUGUUUAUUACCGUACCCUUCUAACCUGAGACAGCUGGAGCAGUUUGCUUACAUGGAGUGUCCCAAAACACGUCUACAGAAAUGUUUUAUUGCAGUGAUUGCCUCUAAAAUGGUACUGUACUCGUACUUUUUUUCUUUUUUCUUUGCAUGCCUGUUUAAACGGCUUCAGUGCAUGUCGGCCAUUCCGCAGUGCUUGCAGGAGUUACUUUAGUAUUAGCAGUUAAGCCGUAGAUUUGGAGCAGGGUUGCAGAAACGGGAAUAUUAAUUCUCACAUAUUGAGCUCCAUGAGCCUUGUAUCGCAGCCAAAGUGUAAAACCUUCAUUUUUUCUUUUUUUUUUUUUUUUCUUUUUUAAACUGCACAAGAGGAUUUGAUUGUAAUUCGACACUGCGGAUCCUUGUCUCCUGCAUUUGAAAGUGCUGGCACGUGCUAAUACAUGCAAAGCCCAUUUCCAUAUACCGUAUGUAUGCUGAUGCAUGGAAAACGUAAAUAGAGCUGCAGCACUCACUCGUAAAUCCGCCAUAGCUCCAUUUUUAUUUUUUUCAACACUGACGUGAUGAUUUGCUAUCUGCUGCAUUAAAAUGUUACUUUGCGCCAAUGAAGGUCUGUAAAUUAGUUUGGACAGGAGACUAAUAUUGUCCGACUGAUGAAAUAAAUUGCUUGUAAGGCUUUUGCAGUGGUCCAAUUUGCUCAGUAGACAUCAACAGUAAUGUGUAGACUGAAAGUGUAAAAACUGUAAUUCACUAACAAAAAGAAAAGCAUAUUUAAUAGCCAAAUUAAAAUCGUUAUGCGUUAUUAUACGCAGUCAUCACUUUGUUUAAAAAAAAAAUAAAAAAUAAUAAUCUGUAAACAUUCUGACAUUAUUGAUCUUUUCUAUCAGACAGGGCUUUGGCCUGAGCAUAAAAAAAUAAUUAGCUCCUUUUUUUUUUUUUUUAAGAGAAUAUUGGAAGCUUUCCCCCAAAAUUUUGCAAAUAGACAAAUUUGCUAAUGGCCAAUUUGGUUCACUGCAAUAAAUGUUAGUCACUGGAAA